UCUUGUGUGACUGUGGGCGGCUCUCUAAGUCCUCACCAUCAGAAGAAAUGUCAUCUUCUCUCUCCGGGUCAUUGUGAGAAAACAAUGAGAACAUGCUUGAGCCUGUUCAGAGCAGGUGCUCAGUAGCAGUGGCUGACAUGAGUAGAGGCUUACUAAACACACCCAAGAGUGAUGAUGAGAGUCACUGCCAGUUCCCUUCAAGGGAAAUGUGUUGGGGUGGGAUAGCCAAGGUCACCGUGAAAAUAGAGAUGCAUGGCGAGUCUCAGCAUACAGCUCAAGUCCCUGGGAGACCACAGGGGAAGAGGAGAAGGGCCUGCACUGAAGGCCAAUGGCUCCAGAUUUCCAGUGGUGAUCCACGUGUUUUCUGUGGUGUGGGAGGAAACUGCAGCCUAGUGGAGGAAAUGGCAAGGGGGUUCACCUCUUCACUGUCUGUUCCAGUACUUCUUACUUCAUUGAUGUUACCAGUGAACAAUGCAGCUGCCACUCACAGCCAUCCCGCUGACAUCACUCAGCUUCCCUGAGGAGAAGAGCUAAGAUUCCUGAGGCUGAUUCCACCAGAGAAAGCAGCAGAAAACAACCAGCAAGCAAUCAACACUCCAAAUAGCACCCAGUUCCACGUAUGCGGCAGACCUUCAGAUACAGAAACCAUUAUUUUGUUUUAUUUUUGUACAUUGAACUAAAUCAGGCUGUUGGAGAUGUGUACCCUUCGUCACUACUGGAGGUCCCUGUUUUUGUCUAGGAACUCCUAUGAGCAACUCAGCCUUGCUGCAGCCGAAGAACCUCCCUCUUCUGAGCUACCUCCACCAUGCACACUGUUUCUUGCCUCCACCAUCCAGGGCAUACCAAGCACGAGCCUCACAGUCAGUGCCCAGUGCACACUGGCCUGAGAAGCUGCAUUUCUCAGAGGUUUGACCCUCUGGGGAUCCUGCAGUCAAGUGGUAUGUGAGUCUCUGCUCUUUCAGAAGCUCCCAAAUUCUUUGGGGAAAUCUAACCCAUCCCCUCCCCUCAAUCACCCACCUCCUUCCCUUCUGCCUCUCU